rnacentral:lncRNA from 1 species
UCGAGCGAAGUAGCGCAGGCUGUGUUUCCUCUGUGAAUCGUAAAGGCCUUACGACGUAUACGGGCCUGUUUACAUACCCUGUCACAUUAAAUCGUCAAAUGUUUGAUAUAUGUAUGGAGUAUUAAAUAUAAACGAAAAAAAUAACUAAUUAUACAGAUUACGUGUAAAUUACGAGCGAAUCUUUUAAGUCUAAUUGCACAAUGAUUUAACAAUGUGGUGCUACAGUAAACAUUUGCUAAUGAUGGAUUAAUUAGGCUUGAUAAAUUCGUCCUGCGGUUUACAGGCGGAUUCUGUAAUUUGUUUUCUUAUUAGACUACGUUUAAUAUUUUAAAUAUGUGUCCGUAUAUCCGAUGUGACACGCCAAAACUUUACACUCCUGAAUCUAAACAUAGCCGUAAAUGCAAAGCAUAGCCAGUCUCUCGAGAUUAACAAAAUUCACUAUUGGUUCUUCCUUUGCAAGAUAAGUAUAUAUACAUUGCGUCAUGUUUAUUAAAAACAGAGAACCUUAGCCCUGUUGCAGGGUGAAACUUGGAAGCAAUAUAUACAAGUCGGAACUUGGAAGUGUAAUUUACUCUUCCUAAACUAUACUAUCCUUCAGCGUACCUUUUAACCCAUAGUGGCUUACACACUGAGCUUCAACGAUGCAGAUGUGGUAACCAACCACACGCACAAAAGAAUGAAGUUUAACCGUUUGAGGUUUCUAGUUCGUUUAUCGUGUUGUGGGGAAGUGUUAAUCUUCGAUGCUGAUUGGCUCGACGACCAGAAGCACAGUUCAGUGAUUUUGCCACAAUGGAAGCAUUCGCAGCCGGCUAAUCGUAUUUGACGGUUUGUUUAGUUGGAAUUGACAGCGUGCACGUUACUGUAAGCCUGAACUGGUGUCCAUUGGGAUAGCGUACAAUUCGUGUAUCGGGGUUUUGAUCUCGAACCAUGUCGAUCGAACCUUAAAUUGGAUUAGAGUCAGUCUAAACAUAUGUAUAUUGCGCAAUCAGAUGUGGACAUGCAUACGGUAGUAAAAUACAAGCAUCACUGCAUCAGGCCAAUAGCCUGACAGUGCGUGGUCGUCAUAUCAUUCUCUCGACAAAAGAAAUUUUAUUGGGGAAAUCGCUUGUUUGUCAUGAAGUUGAGUGGCCUCCUCUGCUUUUUUUUUAAUUUAAUUUUAUUUUGUAGGUGGCCUCUGCUUUUGUUACAGAGUUUCUUGCCUUUGCUUAUCUGCACCAUACAAGGCACUCAACUACGUGAGGUAACAAGUUUUUAUGGCAAAAGGUGCCAUUCAACUUCAUGACCGACGAGCAAAUAAGAUUUGCACCAACUGAGAUCACCUGCAUGCAUCCUAUUCUCAUUUGAUAUAAAAAAAUUGAAGCAAUAUUGAAGUUGCUGGUGCAAAAGGAUCAUUUCAGAAGAUGAAAUGAUCCGGAUUUAUUCAUACGAAUGAAGGCACAUAGUAGUAGUAGUAAUUAAUGAGGUACAGAAAUGGUACACAGAAAAGAAUGUCCAUCAGCGAGAUCAAGAGCACAAGAACCACUCAACAUCAAACUACCCUCACUCAAUAAUCUCUCUCUCUCUCCCCCAAAGAAGAAGGAAUUAUAAUAAAGAAGAAAGAAACCAACUAUGCAUGAUUUGAUCGCAGCUCGAUCGACGCAACCAAAUCCGGAGCCACGCGCGCGGGAGAAGCCGGAGUCGUCGCGUCGUCGUCUACUGCAUGAGCGCCGCCGCGAGCAGGGUGACGAGCGCGGAGGACGCGACGGCGAGCGGGGACGCGCUCCCGGGCGCCGCCCCGGCCAUCGGCGACGGCGCCGGCGAGGAGGCCGGCGCGUUGAAUUCCUGCGCCGACGCCAUCACGAGGAGCGAUGAGGCCACGGCCAUCAGCAGCACCGCCACGCGGGGAGCCAUCGUAAACCCGACGAAGAAGAAGAAGAAAAACGUAGCACGUAGCCCGACGCGAGCGAGAGGAGACUCAAAUCACAAAGCGUCGUGGUGGUGGUGGUGGAAAUGUGGAAUGGAAUAUGGGCGGAAUAUAUAGCGAGGGCGAGGCAGCGCGCGUUUGGGUGGAUGGAGGACAGGCUGGGCCUGGGCCGCCGGUUUCGCGGGCGGUCGCCGUCACGCGUUUUUUUGUGUGGUUUUCCCCAAGCGCAGAGCCGUAGACCGACUGAUCGAUCGACCCGUCUCCGGCACGGCAAGGGGCGAGAUGACGCGUCUCGCUCGCCUCGCGUUGGUCGCGGGCGCGGGGGUGGGAACGCGCGCGAGGCGAGUCGGUGACUCGGUUCGGUGCUCGGCUUUCCGCGUGCGUGGGGUGGGGGGUUGGCGCCCACGGCUCGCGGUCCGCGGCUGUCACGCUGGUUGGCGGGGCUCCACCGCCGACCAGACCGCGGGCUAAGGGCACGUUAGCGCAGCGCGCGGGCGGUCGCGUGCGGGAUGGCGGGGGAAAAGGGCGACGAAAAAUGCCCGGUUUGAGAUGGUGGCGGCACGCGAACGCGGGUCGGGGUAAACCGCACUAGCACGAUCGAUCGCUCGAUCGCUUUUUUUUUUUGUUGUUGUUGUAGCUUUUGAUGCAAAAGGCGGGGGAGGUAAGUGGUAAAAGUCGCGGGCGCGUUUACUGGCUGCGGAAAAGUGGAAGACUAGAGAGGGAC